rnacentral:SRP_RNA from 1 species
GGCCAGGUUCUGCGCAACCAAGGGGCCGUGAACCCCGCCAGGCCCGGAAGGGAGCAACGGUAAGCGGAAACCCGGUGUGCCGCAGAGGUGCUUGGCCCCC